AUUUAAAGUUGCUCCACAUAUUGUGCGUGAUUCCUGCAGGGCAAUCAGGCAGAAGGCCGUCAUGGAGGCAUCUGACACAUUAUUGGAUGCAACUUUA